UACGUAGGUGGCGAGCGUUGUCCGGAUUUACUGGGCGUAAAGAGCGCGCAGGCGGUCGGAUCAGUCGAAUGUGAAAGCCCCCAGCUCAACUGGGGAAGUGCCUUUGAUACUGGUUGUCUCGAGGGAGGUAGGGGCGUGCGGAACUUCCGGUGGAGCGGUGAAAUGCGUAGAUAUCGGAAGGAACGCCGGUGGCGAAAGCGGCGCGCUGGACCUCUUCUGACGCUGAGGCGCGAAAGCUAGGGGAGCAAACGGG
rnacentral:rRNA from 1 species